AGAAAUAUCCAAAGUUGUGAAAAUCUUAUCAUCGUCAUCCUCUUCUCACUCUCGUCUUCCCCAACUCCAAAGCUCAAAUCUUUCCACUGUUCAUGCUCAACGCCAUGAGAUUACACCUGGUAGACGACUAAGUAGAAACAAAGUGAAAUCAAAAUGGCCGUAUCCACUGCGAAAUUUACUGAAUUUCCAUUCCGUGCCACAAUUCCUCUUGCUUAUCAACCAUCAACUUCCCUUCACCCUCGCUUCUUCUUUUAUUCAUACCCUAGACGUACUUUCUCUCUUUUCAAGUCAUUCUCUUCGCUUCGUUCCACCACCGAAUCAAGUAGAGUAAGCAGGAACCCGGGAACAAGGAAGAAUUCUUACCUUUUGGACGAUGAGCAGAGAAACAUUUCCAAACACCUUAACCACGGCCAGAAAAAGUCCAGGUCUUCUUCUUCUCCUCCUCCUCAGUGGAUUAAUAAUCGGACGUCCUCCCAAAACACUCAAAUGGACUCUGAUAUAAAGAGAGGAGAAGAACGAACCGAGAGUCGGUAUUUUGAUGGGAAAAGUGGGUCUACUUCAAUUGAAAGGAUUGUCCUUCGAUUGCGAAAUCUGGGUUUGGGCUCCGACGACGAGGAGGAAGAAGAAGAGGAGGAAAAUGAAGAGAACAUAAAUGAAAACAUGGAAAUGUCGAUGACUGGCGAAGAGCAACUAGGGGAUCUGUUAAGAAGGGAUUGGGUGAGACCUGAUAAUACGUUGUCUGAAGAGGAGGAAAAUGAAUCGUGGUUGCCAUGGGAGAGGAUGGGUAAAAGCGGGGAAGGUGCAGAUGAAAAUGACAGGAAGGGAACAAGGAGGAAUACAUUGAAACCACCCACAUUAGCAGAAUUGACCAUUGAGGAUGAAGAACUGCGAAGAUUGAGGACGCAAGGGAUGACUCUCAAAGAAAGAAUCAAUGUGGCCAAAGCAGGUGUAACCGCAGCUGUUCUUGAAAAGAUUCAUGGACAGUGGAGAAGGUCAGAAUUGGUCCGGCUUAAAUUCCAUGAAAUCUUGGCUCAUGACAUGAAGACAGCACAUGAAAUCGUUGAGCGUCGAACCGGAGGUUUAGUCAUAUGGAAGUCUGGAAGUGUGAUGGUCGUGUACCGUGGAAGCAACUAUGCAGGGCCAUCUCAAAUUCAGAGAUCAACUGAAGUGGAAAGUGAUAAUCUUGAAACUAAUACAGUUCUGAAUCCCGAGAAAGCAAAGGUUGUUGCUCUUUCAUCCCGGUUGGAAACUAUUACAGAAGAAGAAAUUGAAUGCAGUAGCCUUCUGGAUGGUUUAGGUCCACGUUUUGAGGAUUGGUGGGGUACUGGAAUACUGCCAGUUGAUGCUGAUAUGCUUCCUCAGACAAUUAAGGGUUACAAAACGCCUUAUAGGCUUCUUCCAACCGGGAUGCGACCACGGCUGACAAAUUCAGAGAUGACAAAUCUGAGGAAGCAUGCUAGAUCACUUCCAUGUCAUUUUGCUCUUGGGAGGAAUAGAAAUCAUCAAGGUCUGGCUGCUGCUAUACUCAAGCUUUGGGAGAAAAGCCUUGUUGUGAAAAUUGCAGUGAAACGUGGAAUACAGAAUACAAACAACAAAUUAAUGGCGGAUGAAAUAAAGAAUUUAACUGGAGGUGUGUUGCUAUUGAGAAACAAAUUUUACAUUGUGAUAUACCGUGGCAAAGAUUUUGUGCCAACAAGUGUUGCUGCCGUUUUAGCAGAAAGGACUGAAAUGACCAAACAGGUUCAAGAUGUUGAAGAAAAAGUACGGAUUAAAGCAACUGAAGCAGCAUUGUUGCCUGUGGAUGGGCAGGGGCAGGCUGGUUCUCUGGCUGAAUUCUAUGAGGCUCAGGCUAAAUGGGGAAGAGAAAUAACUGAUGAAGAUCGAGAGAAGUUGAUAGAAGAAGCUGCCAAGGCUAAAAGUUCUAAGGCUGUCAAGAAAGUGGAACACAAAAUAACUAUUGCUCAACUCAAAUUGCUGAAAGCAGAGAAAAUAUUGGCCAAGUUAGAAGCCUCGAUGAUCCCUGUUGGACCUUCUGAUGACCAGGAAACAAUAUCCGAGGAGGAAAGAUCCAUGUUUAGAAAAGUUGGAUUAAAGAUGAAACCAUACUUACCUCUAGGAAUUCGAGGUGUUUUUGAUGGAGUUAUCGAGAACAUGCAUUUGCAUUGGAAGCACAGAGAACUUGUAAAGCUGAUUUCCAAACAAAAGAAUCUUGCCUUUGUUGAAGAAACAGCACGAUUAUUGGAAUAUGAAAGCGGAGGUGUUCUGGUCACAAUAGAAAGAGUCCCCAAAGGUCAUGCUCUUAUCUAUUAUCGUGGUAAGAAUUAUCGACGACCAAUCAGCCUUCGGCCAAGAAACCUUCUGACAAAAGCAAAAGCCUUGAAGCGUUCUGUUGCCAUGCAAAGAUACGAGGCUCUCACCCAACACAUGUCCGAGCUGGAGAAAACAAUAGAACAGAUGAAGCAUGAAAUUGGUGAUAAUAAAGAUGAAGUUGAUGGGAGUACCAUUAAUGCCGAGAAUGACGAACUCGCUAAUCUGGACUCAGUCGAAAAUGAAAAUGAAGCUUCAUGGAGUAAUUCUGAUAAUGACGACGAUAAUGAUGAAGAUGAAAAUGACCUUUGGGAUUACGAUGAAACAACAUCUUCAGACUUAGAUAAUGACCGUCAUUGAUCCGAUCAUUGAAAUAUAUUUGCUAACAGACAAGAUACACCCUUUGAAGCACUCUGGGGCUGCAUUCCUGUCCCGUUAAGGCAUAUACAUCAGCAAAUCUGAGAUCCUGAAUUCUUCAUGAUCUCCAAUCUAAGAAUUGAAGUGGAAUUAUGCAUGGACGGUAGUUCUUAAAUGAGUUUAUCCAGGUUAAAGUUGAACUUCCUCCAUGAACAUUGUUGAUUAGGAAUCAUUUUUGUUUGUUUGUUUGAUUGAUUAAUACUUUGGAGAUUUGCUGGAGAAAAAAAGAGAGAAGAUAAUCCACCAAAUUUCUCAUCUAAUGGCUAAAGUUGCUUAAGAAUGAUAGUUGCUGCAUUUUGUAUGAUUUUGACAUAGACUAGUGAUAGUCUAUGUCAGCAUUUUAUGUGAGCAUUUUAUGCCGGUCUUAGCAGAAAGGAUGAAAUGAAAUGGAGGUAGUAUUUGAA